rnacentral:rRNA from 1 species
AGUGAACGCUGGCGGCAGGCCUAAUACAUGCAAGUCGAACGGCAGCACAGUGGGGCUUGCUCCAUGGGUGGCGAGUGGCGGACGUGUGAGGAAUACAUGGGAAUCUGCCCAGUCGUGGGGGAUAACGUAGGGAAACUUACGCUAAUACCGCAUGCGCCCUUCGGGGGAAAGCCGGGGACCUUCGGGCCUGGCGCGAUUGGAUGAGCCCAUGUUCGAUUAGCUAGUUGGCGGGGUAAAGGCCCACCAAGGCGACGAUCGAUAGCUGGUCUGAGAGGAUGAUCAGCCACACUGGGACUGAGACACGGCCCAGACUCCUACGGGAGGCAGCAGUAGGGAAUAUUGGACAAUGGGCGCAAGCCUGAUCCAGCCAUGCCGCGUGAGUGAAGAAGGCCCUCGGGUUGUAAAGCUCUUUUGUCCGGGAAGAAAAGCAUCGGGCUAAUACCUCGGUGUUCUGACGGUACCGGAAGAAUAAGCACCGGCUAACUUCGUG